GAACGCUAGCGGCAGGCCUAAUACAUGCAAGCCGAACGGUAACUUGAAUAGCAAUAUUUGAGCUAGAGUGGCGUAAGGGUGCGUAACACGUAUGCAAUCUGCCCGCAACAGGAGAAUAGCUCCCCGAAAGGGGAAUUAAUACUCCAUAAGAUCACACGAGGGCAUCUGAGGGUGAUUAAACUACAAGGGGUUGCGGAUGAGCAUGCGGUUGAUUAGCUAGUUGGUAGUGUAACGGACUACCAAGGCAAUGAUCAAUAGGGGAACUGAGAGGUUUAUCCCCCACACUGGCACUGAGAUACGGGCCAGACUCCUACGGGAGGCAGCAGUAGGGAAUAUUGGACAAUGGGCGAGAGCCUGAUCCAGCCAUGCCGCGUGCAGGAAGAAGGCCUUCUGGGUUGUAAACUGCUUUUGCCAGGGGAUAAAAAGUCCCUGCGGGGAAAAUUGAAGGUACCUGGUGAAUAAGCCACGGCUAACUACGUGCCAGCAGCCGCGGUAAUACGUAGGUGGCAAGCGUUGUCCGGAUUUAUUGGGUUUAAAGGGUGCGUAGGCGGUCUUAUAAGUCAGUGGUGAAAUACGGCAGCUCAACUGUCGAGGUGCCAUUGAUACUGUAGGACUUGAGUACAGACGAGGUAGGCGGAAUUGACGGUGUAGCGGUGAAAUGCUUAGAUAUCGUCAAGAACACCGAUAGCGAAGGCAGCUUACUAGGCUGUAACUGACGCUGAGGCACGAAAGUGUGGGGAUCAAACAGGAUUAGAUACCCUGGUAGUCCACACUGUAAACGAUGAUUACUCGAUGUUGGCGAUACACAGCCAGCGUCUUAGCGAAAGCGAUAAGUAAUCCACCUGGGGAGUACGCCGGCAACGG
rnacentral:rRNA from 1 species